rnacentral:rRNA from 1 species
AUUGAACGCUGGCGGCAGGCUUAACACAUGCAAGUCGAGCGGGGUGAUGGUGCUUGCACUAUCACUUAGCGGCGGACGGGUGAGUAAUGCUUAGGAAUCUGCCUAUUAGUGGGGGACAACAUCUCGAAAGGGAUGCUAAUACCGCAUACGUCCUACGGGAGAAAGCAGGGGAUCACUUGUGACCUUGCGCUAAUAGAUGAGCCUAAGUCGGAUUAGCUAGUUGGUGGGGUAAAGGCCUACCAAGGCGACGAUCUGUAGCGGGUCUGAGAGGAUGAUCAGCCACACUGGGACUGAGACACGGCCUGGACUCCUACGGGAGGCAGCAGUGGGGAAUAUUGGACAAUGGGGGGAACCCUGAUCCAGCCAUGCCGCGUGUGUGAGGAAGGCCUUAUGGUUGUAAAGCACUUUAAGCGAGGAGGAGGCUCUUUUGGUUAAUACCCAAGAUGAGUGGACGUUACUCGCAGAAUAAGCACCGGCUAACUCUGUGCCAGCCGCCGCCGUAA